UCGCUAGCGCUCGCUGUAGAAGAGCUGCUUCCCCUUUCCUUGAUGUAAGCAGAGCCCCAUUGGCGUUUGGGCCUGUUUUUAUUUGGCCACUCACGCAGUUAUGCUGACUGAAAGGUCCCUUGAGCACCGCUGACUCAAAAACACCCAUGGUCGCAGAGUCCUGAGCAAGGAGAACAGAAAGCAUCUGGCACUUCCCUGUCCCCAUUUCAGGACCGAGAGAGGUAGAACCCAAAGCUGAGGCUGCAGAGCGUGACUCUUAGUCAUAUCAACAGGGGAUUUUGCAAUUGGUGGGUGCGGGGUGCGAGGCAGGCAGUCUGCAAGCAAAUUUGAAGUGCUCUGCAAAGCACUGGAGUGGGGUUCCUCUGCUGCCAGGCCUGCGCAGCACAGUGCGGCCCUCACUCCCUGCUGCCCUGCAGCCUGCCGGGCCGCUCCAUUUGGGCACAGGGUUUAGCACAAGUGAGCAGGCAGCUCACGUGGUGAGCGGUGGGUGGCCAUGGCUGCCCUGUAUCUGCCUCCUGUUCACAUUUGCAGCAGCCGACUUCUAUGCAAGGCAGGGUCUAAAGUGGAUCCCGCUGAGUUUGGCCCAGUUUGGCUGGUGCUGUUCAGCUCAGGGACAGGAUGGAAGGAUGGAGCUGAGACUCAUAGAGCCAGCACUCCCAGCAUCCCAUUCCUGCAGUGGAUACACAGAUUACCUAUCAGUAGAGCUCCUUCUUAAGCCGGAUUGAUUGAGGCAGAAUUUGCAAUCGUUGAAUGAGAGAUGACACAGUCAUAGAAUGGCUCAGGUUGGAGGGGACGCUAAAGAUCACCCAGUUCCAGCCCACCGCCGUGGGCAGGGAUGUGGAUGGAGAACUGCUUUGUACUGUAACAGUUUCAUUUAGAAGCGAGAAGUCCUUCAUGAGGAGGUAGUGGGAGGAGGAGGUUAUUGACAAUGCCACUCCUGUCCGAAGGAAUGUGCUGGAAAGUUGCAGUGGCCUCUAGAUGGCAGCCCCAUUACUCACUCGUCAGAAAACUGAAAAUAAACGCCUUCCCUUUCAAAGCUGGACUUACAGGCAGGCCUAAAGCUUCGGGAGCUCAGACCAAAACCCGCGGGCAGUCAAGAUGACAGUGGGACCCAUCCGGCUUUGUUUUUUCCCCUUCGCCUCGCCCAAAAGGAGGAGCGAGGACUCGCUUCCCUCUGGACUCUGUAUUUGGUAAUGGGCCGGGAGCUGCCGCUGGGAGCUCGUCCUGACGUUCCUGGAGUCGUCUGGAAAGCGAGGCGGAGCCGCGGUGCUGUGCCCAGGGGUGCGCCUCGCCCCGGGUGCCGGCGGCUGUGCUGGGAGCGGGAGGUCCGCGCCGUGCUGCCGUGUGUGACCCGUGGGACGCGGGGCGGGCAGCUUCCACAGCACCAGAGCAGCGCUCUGCCAGAGCUAUUUGUAUAGUAAAUUGCUGUAUUGUUUCAAUUAAAAAAACGCAGCCGGGCAUUUAAUGGCUCCCAUCUGCGGCCACUCUGCGUAAUUCACUUCCCACUUUAAGGUUUGAAUUCUCCUUUUCUCUUGUAAUCGUGGGGACAAAAAGGGAGAGUUGAUGUCCCUAAUGUUGAUAGAUCUAUCUUCGUGCUCUCUGCUUUAAAUGAGGUUAACCGGGCUUUUGAGGGAGAAGAGUCAUAAAUAUUUCCUUGUGUGAGCGGAGAUGCUGGCACCGGGAAUCAUGGGAAUCCAUCUCAGCCAGCUAUUAACAGACUGUUAACAGACCGUCUUUCUAAUUGACUUAAAUGUUACUCAGUUGACCCCGUUUCAAUAUUUCCUGAGAACUCAUAGUCUUUACUUUUUCCAUCCUCGCAAUACCCUGGGAGCUAACUGCCGUAUUCACAGAGGGAGCUGAGGGAACCAGGUUCCAAAGGUGGUGGGGCCCUACAGGCGGGGCCUGGGGCUCACACGUCCGACCUGCGCUGACAUCCAAAGCAGUCGGGACCGCUGCUCUUCUGAAAUCCCACUGGGCUCCCUCUGGCGUCUUUAACACCUCAGUACUUACAGUACCUCUCGUAGUGGGAUUUGUGCGCGCACAGAAGGCAGGCGGCAUCCACAGGGUUUUGCCAGCAGAUUUAGUCUGAGCCUCAUCAGCAGGGGACCUGGAUAAGAAACCGUGGUCAGCUGCCUCUCAGCUCCGAGCCAGUCUUCCUCAAAGAGCGACGGUAACUUUGGAUGCCACGACUGCGUGACACGCAGCUGCAACCUUGACCUGGUAGGAUCUCCUACGGUCAGAUCCAGCAGAGAGGUAUGUGACUUCACUGUCAUGCACUAGCCUGCUCUGCCAGCUGGAUGAUUUAAGCACACCAAAACCAGAACAGCUCAAUAAAAUGGUUUCUGCGUGAACAGUUCAAUGAAAAUAUCUGCGAUUGGUUGUGGUAAAAAAUGCAAAUUAAAAACCCUUUCGGAUAUAGAAAAGAAAGACCAGAAAAUCGCCCUGUGUUGCCAGGACCGGAACAAAGCCAGGCACUUGGAAGCUGCCCCUGGAGGUGUUGGAGGAACGUGUAGUUGUGGUACUAAGGAACAUGGUUUAGUGGGCAACAGUGGUGGUAGGCGGAUGGCUGAACUGGAUGACCUUAGUGGUCUUUUCCAACCUUAAUGAUUCUAUGAUUCUGAGCAACCUGGGCAGCUGGAGAUGAGAGGAAGCAGGUUCUGGUCCUGUCUCUGCCAAAUGGUUUCUGGCUGCUCUCUUUAGUGCGUAGUUGCUAAACCUGUGCACCUGCCACGGAGGAGGUCAAUGAGAAAUCCUGGCUCUUGUUUCAGUGCCCUAGGGACACGGGAAUGUUUUUGGGGAGUUUUGUACUUGCAUCACUUGCAUCUGUGCUGUCCUUGGUAAAUGUGUUUGAGUUCCAAGGGGUUAGAGUCAGGAGUACUUGUGCUGCUUGGAAGGACAUAGUUCCUACACGGACCAGGCUCCUCUCUGCUGUUUGGAGAGCGAGACGGUGCAUGGGACAGGCGGUGUGAAGUCAGUGAGCUCGGGCUUGUUGCUAAGCCUGAGCCUUGUGUUAUCCACUCACAAAUCUAUCAGCACUUGGGAAUUCGGACUGAAGUUACGUCUGAGGCAAAUCCACACAUAUUAGAAGGUUAGAAAUAUGAUUUCGGGAUAACUCAUUGGCCUCUGCCUCUUCUCCCGUCCCACCUCUCUGCUUUGUUACUAUGAUGAGCAUCUCAUGGGGCACAUGGGAGACCAGCCUAGACUGAACUCGUUGUUGGGGACGCGGGUUUGGGAUUUGAGCAGCAGAGUGGCUGUGGUGCUCCUGGUGAGGUGGGAUUAGCCCUCACACGCUCUGCCAGCUGUCUGUCCUUCCACGCUGUUGGUCUGCUGUAGGAGGUGUGCAGUGGGAGCACAUGGGGCGUGAACACAGAGGUUCCUGCUGAGGCAGAAGAAGGUGGCGUGACCCCGAAAAAGGGAACAGGAGCUGCAACUUCCACCCUUGUGGGCUAAGAGGAACGACCACCCCUGAGGUCCCAUGAAGCUGCAGGCUGCUCCAGACCCACCCUUAUGCGGGAAGGAACACACCCUUGCCUCUGCCUGCAUGUGGCUGCAGGUUCCUCGCUGCAGCCCAGCCCUCCUGAUGAUGUGUGGCCUUCGGGUGGUGCGACACGGCGCUGCUGCGGAGUGGGCUGGCUGUGGUGGGCUUCCUCCUCGCCUUACUGCCACGUGCUGCCCCUACAAGACAACCUCCCGCCAGCUGGAAACCCAGCGCGGCCUCGUGUCCCCAAAAUAAAGAUUUUGUCCUACAGUUUCAUGACUGUAAUUGUUAAGCAGCUCUGUUGUAAGCUUCCCACUAUUUGCCUCAAGCAGCUCAUCCCUGCGGUUCCUCCCAUGCUAAUCUCUGCAAUCUGUGGCAUGCAUACAGCGCUGGCUGGAACGGUCCCUCCCCUCUGCUGCACCGUAUUUGCCAGAACAGGCAUAACUCCAGAUAACCGGAUUUGAAACAAUCAGAGCAGGAAGUGGCAAUAACUGGCCUGGAGGGAAGGCGGGGAGUUGCCCAUAGACAGUUUUUUAGAAGGGUGCCCAAUUUGUGCUAUCUGAUCUCUUUCCACGCUCCUUUAGCCCAGGUACAAAGGCAGGAUGUAAAGCUUGCAGGAGUCAUUUCCAUCCUCACUCCCUGGCUUCUGACUGAGUUCAGAUCUGUACUGUCUCUUUCUUACAGCCGUGCUGUGUGUGUGGUGACACGCAUACUGACCUACGUGUGCACGUGAAGACUUCCAGAGCUGCAUCUGCUUCAGACGUGACACUGAUGUCACCCCACGGAUGCUGCCUCGCUGUGGACAAGGCAACGGACCAAAGUUGGCGUUAUUUCCUCCGUGGAGAGCAGGGACCUCAAGGAUGGCUCUGGUGCAGCUGGCGCUCCCGUGGCGGGCAGUCACAGCCCACGCCAACCCUCUGCCCACCGCGCCUUCAUACCCUGGGGGUCAGAGUGGGCCGAGGCAGGUCCUAGGCGAGUGUUCCCACUGCCGAGCCUGCAGCUUGGUCACCAGCGCCCUCCGGCCAGCCUCAUAAACAUCACCCACCGGGCUCUGCUGCCCAUCCCCUGCUCCCCCAGCCAAGGGUCACGAGCUGCGGCCGGCAGCCGGCUGCCAAACACAGCCGUGGCUCUGUGCAGCCAGCCUGCGAGAGGUCGUCACACGCCUCCUUAAGCAAACAGGGAUCCACGCCAGUUGAUAAAUCAUUUACGAGGAGAAGUCAGAAGCAAGGAACUAGAUUAACCAGGUCACUGGGUGUCCUGAGGGAAUGACGUGUCAGUGGAGCUGAAACAGCAGAUCCCGCAGUUGCAAUCUGUUGCCUUCUUCUGUCCUGACAGCAAUUCAUGGAAAUCCCUGGAACUAGACACUAGUGAUGGAAAAAUCCAUUAGCUCAUCCAAAGUCAGCUUGCUAGUUAAAGCAGUCACUCCCAUUGUACAUUUUUUGGCAGAGUUAAAAUGUCUCAAGAGAGGGGAUUUCCACCAGUUCCUUCUCAAGGGGAAACUAUUCCACCUAUCGGGAAGGCAGCCUCGAGUGGUGCUAUUUAUGUAAAAGAGAAGUAACUCCAAGCCUGAAAGGGAAAACCGAAAGGUUCUGAUGCAGAAACACAGGCAGCGGUCGAUAGCCUGCCCCGGCUGACAUGUGCCACGCACAGCACAUCUGCGAUGGGAACACCAGGGGCCCACGUGUGUUUAUAUACAUCCACCUAGGUGUGUUUGUGUGUAUGCACAGCCUGCCUCUCCUUCCUCAGGCUGGUUAUGACCUUGUGCCUCCCUGGCUAAUCGACGUGUCGUAUCGUGAUCUCACAACCAGGUUACACUUAUGUAAUGCCACUGGCAUCAAGGCGAAGAAAAUUGCUAAAUUGCUUUGAGGAGGGGACAGACGCAUGGAAAAAGAGAGGCACCGGCUGCUGCUGCUGCUCUGGCACACGCUUCCCCUCUGUGUGGGGACAUGGCAUGUCCCCUAGGGGCCUCGGUUCCCCAGCUGCGUGCCAGGCACAGCGACCACCCUCAGUGCUCCUGGCGUCUUGUGGCUGAACGCACAGCCUCUGGCAGCACCCUGCCCGCAGCAGCAGGGAAGGUGCUGCAACGCAGAGCUAUGUCACUGAGGUUGUCGGCAGAGGCUAUGGAGGUUUUGGCAGCCAGGAUUUCAGCACCUGGGAAGCACUUCGGGACAGUGGGGAAAUAAAUGAGCUGUGUGAUGGCAUUUAAGGCCUUAUCAUGAGUUUCAGAGCUAGUUCUGCGUUCAGAUGAAUGGGUGUAGCACACGUUGCUGAGCUAGAAUGUGUAGAGACAGGGAGGGUUGCUCUGUGUUCCCAUUCAGAAAGCUCUCAGCCAGCAGAGCUGUAACUUGCAGUCCUGGUGCCUCAGUUCAGGAGCAGGGCUCUGCAGCUAGGGUAGAUACAAUGGCUAUAUUAGCAGCAAACAAACCCCACAUUAUCCAGGGCCCUGAUUACCAGUAUGAUGGGGUGUUGGCUAUAUGCCUCUUAUGAGAAGAAGGUGGGGUAUUGCCUGGGCGUUUGCCCUGGAUUUGUAACUCCUUCUCAACUAGUUGUUUCGUGUGCCUCUCAAAACCUCACUGCUGGCACUGCUGUCUUCCCCUUCCGGGACUCCUGACAUUCAGGUACCAUGUUUUGCACGGACUCGACAGCCACGUACCCGUCAGUUACAUUGGGACUGCUCUCGUGAGUGCCCUGUGCAUGUUAUUGUAGGGUGGCUUGUGAGUUCUAUUCGGUACAUCCCUGGCUUUGGGCCGCAUGUUCCGCUUUGCAAGGCUUUACUUUGUUUAGCACAAACCACACUGAAGCACAAAUGACAUCUGUGAGGACUGAUAUGGUGUGGAAAGGGACCUAACCAAAAAAGCGCGGGUCAAAUCCUGGGCCUCGGCGGGGUCCCUUUAAUUGCUGUCAGGUCCCAGUGCCAGUUGACCUACUGAGCCCCUUGCCCCUUGCACCAUGGAGGGAUAAGAGCAGGUGAAGCCCAGUAACAGUUUAACUAUGAGAUUAACUCUCUGCCAGUUCCACUACAGAGGGCCCUCUGUUUCUCUGGACAAAAGGUGCUGACUCCAGCCUCCCCAACACGUUGGCCCACGUUCUCCAUCCCCUUCAUGGCCUGGCCUGCCUUCCCCACACCCUGCAGUUCCAGCCUGACCCUCAGCGAAGGCAGGGAGCCUGGGCUCUGCAGCCUUAGGUGGUGCUGCUGCCUGAAGGAGGGCCAGAGUAAGAGACAUCUUCCUCUCUACUCCCCUACACCUACAAGGUCCCAGUGCUCUUCAGAACCACACACCAAGGUAGGACGAGAUGCAGGGAGGCCUGUAACGGUCCAGGUGCUCGGCUGCGUGUCCUCCCUGCUCCUAAGCACCACUGAGACCCUGGUUUCUCAUGCCUUGAAAUUCAUGGGUGUUUGGCCAUGCCCCUCAACACAUGCAGGACCAGGCUCCCGAACUGUCCCAAAGCCCACAGAUGUCAAGGAGGUUCCUUCUUUGGGCUUCACUGUGGCAAUGAACACUGGUUUUACAGCUGGCUAGGCAAGAGGCAGCUAGGUGCAAGCUUAAUGAGGAUGACCUGUCUCAAAGGUUUCAUUUAAAAGAAGAAAGUACCGAGCGUUUUACUUAAAAAUGAACAGAUGUGUAGAGCAAACUCUACCCUUCCCUCGGGUACGGUGAAUCUGAUCACAGCGCAUCCUGCCCAGACCUGAGAGCAGACAGACAGACAGAGCUGCGUCACAAAGUGGAACUGACUGAUGUGACUCGCCCGCGCUGAGCUGGGGAUGAGUGAAACCAUGCUCGUGCAGACAGCGUGGAAAGCGAGCAGAGGUGAUAAGGAGUGGGGGUGUUAGUUGUUGUUGUUCUUGAUUCUGCGUGGGAGAGGGGAGCGAUAUUGAUGAAGACCGUAAACAGCAAUAGGUGCCACCAAGUAGUGGCAACAUACAGCCCUGAACGUACAGCUGCCAUUAGGCACCGAGUGCCUCUCUGCUGAGUGCUCGCACCGAGGGCAGCUUGGCUUCCAACAAGCACCCAUCACUCCCAAGAGGCAGCACCCCCUGAGAACAUGGGCUGCAGUCCUUAUGACCGUGUGCUGUGAGAGCCAUUUCCACCGGAGAGGCAAAUACUUUCCUUCCACUGUGUCACAGAGCCACGUUUCCUCUUAGUUACCUGCACCGAGUGUGUGGGGCUGCACUAAUGCAGGCCUGGCCGAGAAGGGGGCACGGAGACAGGGAUGGAGAUGGGCACAGAGACAGAGAUAGAGACAGAGACAGGGACAGGGCCGGCCAUGCCCAGCAUGCAGAUCGAGGCAGGUCCUUGCAGUGCGGUGGGGCUGACUGACACCCCAGUGCAGUGUGCGUGUGCCGUGUGAUGUGCUUGAGCAGCACAAGGUCAUGUUCAGCCCCCUGCCCUGUUACUGUGAGCAGCCAUGCACUACUUUCAAGCGUAAUAACAUCAUGACGUAACAGCACACCACGCUGCGAUGACACCAGCACACGGAGCAAGCCACGGCGAUCUGAUCUCUUUCUGUACACGCUGAGAUGCACGCUGCCGCCUCCCAGGACAGGUGGGUGGCAGGUGGAUGGGGCUGGCGCUGCCCACGUCCCAGCGCCGGGUGAGAACGUGACUGCCGGCAAUGUCAGGGCUGGGAGAUUGGCUCCGCAGCUCCAGCUCUGCCUCAGCUGCGGCUGAUGAGUCACCGCACCUCUCUGUGCUCACUUCUUCCAUCUGUGGAAAGGUGGCAAUAACAUUUCCUCACCUUACGGGGGGCGGGAGGUGUGUGCAAGGAUGAACAAAUGUUUACAAAGCACCUCGGCGCAGCACAGGCUGGUUGGGCUGUGACUGGGAGGAACCAGCGCUCGCUCUCCGCAUUGCUCCUUCCUGGCCAGGCGAGGUGUCCUCAAGUAAACACUCCCCUCAGAGUCAACAGUCUUCAAUGAGCGCAGAUGAGAUAAUUCCUCAGGAGAGAAACAGAGAGCGAAGAGUCAGCGCGCUGCCAGUAAUUUCCAUGAAUUCUGUCAAAGGAACAGCGGAGUAACCUUUGCAGGAGAAAAAGAAGAAUCAACUAGAAAAACAAAUGAGCAGCGACCAAAUUCUUUCUGCUAAGUGGUGCCGUGGUCUUAGGUUUCACUUCCCAAAUGGGAAACAGAACAGAGAAGUGAAUCCCCUUGAAAUAAAAGUGAAGUUAAUAACGGGACGCCUGUAGCUGCUCACCACAUCCUGUGUAUGCUGAUCGCUCUGUUUAUAGCUGGCACGAGCCCUUCUAGACUCUUCUCUACCAAGUGAGCUGGU
ensembl:lncRNA